CACGUAGGGGGCAAGCGUUGUCCGGAUUUAUUGGGCGUAAAGAGCUCGUAGGUGGUUCGGUAAGUCGGGUGUUAAACCCCCAGGCUCAACCUGGGGACGCCACUCGAUACUGCUGUGACUAGAGUCCGGUAGGGGAGCGUGGAAUUCCUGGUGUAGCGGUGAAAUGCGCAGAUAUCAGGAGGAACACCUGUGGCGAAAGCGGCUCACUGGACCACAACUGACGCUGAGGCGCGAAAGCUAGGGGAGCAAACAGG
rnacentral:rRNA from 1 species